UAGGGAAUAUUAGAAAUGGACGAAAGUCUGAUCUAGCAACACCGCGUGUGCGAAGAAGGCCUUCGGGUCGUAAAGCACUUUUUGGAAGGAAUAGGAAGGAAUGUACUUCCAGAAUAAGUCUCGGCUAACUACGUGCCAGCAGCCGCGGUAACACGUAGGAGGCGAACGUUAUCCGGAUUUACUGGGCGUAAAGCGCGUGAAGGUGGUACUGUAAGUAGGGCGUGAAAGCUCCUGGCUCAACUGGGAGAGGCCGUUCUAAACUACAGAACUAGAGGAUGGUAGAGGGAGGUGGAAUUCCAGGUGUAGAGGUGGAAUGCGCAGAUAUCUGGAGGAACACCGGUGGCGAAGGCGGCCUCCUGGACCAUUCCUGACACUCAGACGCGAAAGCUAGGGUAGCAAACGG
rnacentral:rRNA from 1 species